rnacentral:rRNA from 1 species
AAGGCGACUUUCUGGUCCGUAACGACACUGAGGCGCGAAAGCGUGGGGAGCAAACAGGAAAGAUAACCCCUGGGUAGUCAACCCCGUAAACGAUGAGUGCAAAGUGAAGAGGCCUUCCGCCACUUGGAGUGCUGAAGUAACGCAUUAAGCACUCCGCCUGGGGGAGUACGCCGCAAGGCUGAAACUCAAAGGAAGACGGGGGCCCGCACAAGCGGUGGAGCAGUGGAAAUUCGAAGCAACGCGAAGAACCUUACCAGGUCUGACAUCCAUCGGAAAACGCCAAGAGAUACGGGCUUCGUCCUUCGGGAGCAGAGAUGACAGGUGGUGCAUGGCUGUCGUCAGCUCGUGUCGUGAGAUGUGGGUUAAGUCCCGCAACGAGCGCAACCCUUGACUCUUAGUGCCAUCGAUAAGUUGGGCAACUCUAAGGUGACGCCGGUGACAAAACCGGAGGAAGGUGGGGAAGACGUCAAAUCAUCAUGCGCCCUUAUGACGUGGGCUACACACGUGCUACAAAGGGCGGNAAAA